GCAUAUCAAUAAGCGGAGGAAAAGAAACCAACAGGGAUUGCCCUUAGUAACGGCGAAGUGAAGCGGCAACAGCUCAAAUUUGAAAUCUGGCCCCUCGCGGUCCGAGUUGUAAUUUGUAGAGGAUGCUUUGGGCGCGGCGCCUUCCGAGUUCCCUGGAACGGGACGCCAGAGAGGGUGAGAGCCCCGUACGGUUGGACGCCUAGCCUAUGUAUAGCUCCUUCGACGAGUCGAGUAGUUUGGGAAUGCUGCUCUAAAUGGGAGGUAAAUUUCUUCUAAAGCUAAAUACCGGCCAGAGACCGAUAGCGCACAAGUAGAGUGAUCGAAAGAUGAAAAGCACUUUGAAAAGAGGGUUAAAUAGCACGUGAAAUUGUUGAAAGGGAAGCGUUUGCGACCAGACCUUCUCCGGGGGGAUCAUCCGGUGUUCUCACCGGUGCACUCCCCUCGGUCUAGGCCAGCAUCGGUUUCCUUAGGGGGAUAAAGGCCUGGGGAACGUAGCUCCUUCGGGAGUGUUAUAGCCCCUUGCGUAAUACCCCUCGGGGGACCGAGGACCGCGCUUCGGCAAGGAUGCUGGCGUAAUGGUCGUCAACGACCCGUCUUGAAACACGGACCAAGGAGUCGAACAUUUGUGCGAGUGUUUGGGUGUCAAACCCUCACGCGUAAUGAAAGUGAACGGAGGUGAGAGCCCUCGCGGGUGCAUCAUCGACCGAUCCUGAUGUCUUCGGAUGGAUUUGAGUAAGAGCAUAACUGUUCGGACCCGAAAGAUAGUGAACUAUGCGUGGAUAGGGUGAAGCCAGAGGAAACUCUGGUGGAGGCUCGCAGCGGUUCUGACGUGCAAAUCGAUCGUCAAAUCUGCGCAUGGGGGGCGAAAGACUAAUCGAACUAUCUAGUAGCUGGUUACCGCCGAAG
rnacentral:rRNA from 1 species